AAAUGCAACAACUUGAGCAAGAGUGAUCAGUUACUAAGAGGAGUACCUAACGUCCUUAGAAGAAAAGAUUCAGAUCAUAGGGAUUUUAUUUACAGAAAUGUAUUUACCUGUUUGUAAUGUAUGCCAGUUUAGAGCUCAUAGUGAGCACAAUAAAAUUCCAGAAGACCGAUGAUGGCUGUUAGAUAUAACAGAACGCUCUGAGAGUCACUAUCAGAAAUGAGCAUAUCAGUGCAUAAAAUGUAUGGUAGCUUUAUUUAGCAGCUGUUUCAUUGUUUACCAUAGCAUUUUUGAUAAUGGAAGUCUUAAAAAGAAAAUGGACUCGUUUAGUGGAUAUAGAAACUUGAAAGAAGACCAUAUACUGGAAACAAUUCCAUGUGUCUAAAAAAUGGUCUCCUCCAGUACACAAAAAUAAAACAUCAAAUGUUUAUUUCUUAGAAAGAUCAAAUAGUGCUAGGAUGACACUUACAAAAGCUUUCAAACUUUGGAUGAGUGGAAGCCAGAUGACAAAGAUGCCUUAGAUGAGCAUAAGUCCUCUCCAACAGAAUAUGCUCCAUUAUAUCCUCAUCCAACAGGCUUUAUGUAUCAAUAG
rnacentral:lncRNA from 10 species